UGAAGAUAAUUUCGGGUAUUGUAAGCGCUAUGCAUUUAUCUCUACUUUAAAACAUUAAUAAUCCAGUGUGACUUCUACGAUCGUAAUUAUAAUUCGUUAAGAAAUUGAAUUUCAUCACUCAAAGUUCGAAUAUUGAUUAAAAGAUAAUCACGGUUUUUUCAGUUCAACUCGAACAUCCGAACAUCAUUAUCUUGAUUAGGAUCUGUCAUAAAUUGAGUUCAACGUCCUCUUCUUUCGUCAAAAUUGAUUCUUAGUCGUCAGCUGUAAUUCCACGUUCUUCAUAAACUGAUAGUAAUAAAUAUAUAUUAAAGUUUUUUGAAAUAAAAACCGCUAAGUACGUGGUGGUGAGAUUCUGUACAUAUUUCUUGCAUCUUGUUGACAGUUAACUCUAACAUCUGUGGUAUAGAUCUCGAGUAUGGUUCGAGAGUACACUCUUGACUAUGACAGCAUCGAUGGCAAAAGAUAUCCUUAACGAGCGAUUCGUACAAUAACGAGGUUAUAAUACGUGCCAUUUCGACGAUAAAAAUACAGAUAAAAAUAUUUAAAUAAUUUUCUAUACCGUCAUUCAUCUGAGUAAAGGGAAUGAGAACGUCACACGCAUUAUCCAGAAUUUUUCUAGUGUUUUACAGAUGUUCCGAUUCAGGUAUAAGAUAAACAAGCUGUGAUUUUAAAUUUAUUAGUAUUUAAUAGAGGAAAAAUGUAGUUAUAAGGUAGGGCCCCUCGUAUCUGAAGCUACACAUUAAGGCCUCUUAUAGUUAAGGCCCUAAAUCCAGCCUUAGUUUGCCACUUUUAGGAAACGUCUAUAAGUCUGACGCUUUAUUUUUCUCUUUAAUCUUGAAAACAAGCAUGAAGAAAACAAACUUCAUGUUUCUUGUCGAACUUUCGGCUUGUUUUGACUUCGUGUCAUGACUUUAAAUUAACGAACUUAAGACCCAUGCAACGUGUUUUGAUUAUUAUUUAGUAUUUACUUAUAAGAAAUUUAUUAGAAUUUAUACUCUAUAGAUUAUAAG